rnacentral:rRNA from 1 species
GAUCAUGGCUCAGAUUGAACGCUGGCGGCAUGCUUUACACAUGCAAGUCGAACGGCAGCACAGGGAGCUUGCUCCCGGGUGGCGAGUGGCGCACGGGUAAGUAAUACAUCGGAACGUGUCCUAUUGUGGGGGAUAACUGCUCGAAAGGGUGGCUAAUACCGCAUGAGACCUGAGGGUGAAAGCGGGGGAUCGCAAGACCUCGCGCAAUUGGAGCGGCCGAUGCCCGAUUAG